rnacentral:ncRNA from 1 species
CAUCCACGACAGGGGAGCACCGCACGGUGCUGAGAGUGCGCACGGCGCAGACCCUCGAACCUGAUCCGGCUCGCACCGGCGGAGGGAGUCGGGACUUCUCGGCG